GGUGGUUGGUUUCCCGGGAAGCACUCAUGCAGUGAAACAGCAGUCAGGGGACUUCCGAAGGCCCUGCUGGAUUUCAUUGUGCACAAAGUCGGCUGCAGAGACCUUGAAAUUAGGCUUCAGUUGCAUACUUCUGUACCCAAUCAUCAUACUUAAGGAAUUUUCCGGUUAAAGUUAAGCUCAGUCGACAGCAUUUGCAGCAUAAUGUUGAAUAAAACUGGCUAUAACUUUACACAGAAAAGAAGCAGAAAAACACAACAGAUUUUACAUCAGUGCUGGUGGGUCAAGAGCCAAAACUGGAUUGCAGAUGCAUUCUGAUAAGGUCAGGUAAGGAGUCCAUGGUAAUAGUAAUCAACUUAAAAGUUUUUGUUUUACUUUUGUAUGAUAAACAAUUGUGGUACUGUGAUACAUUCAAUCUUAUAUUUGGGUCCAGAAGCAAAACCAUUUUGGUGAACCGCUGUUUUACACAAUACUUCUGUAAUUAUAGUCUAAAAAAUAAGGAUCUAGUUUGCACAGUUUUAAACUGUGAAUAUGAAAAGUGG